UGUGACUAUGUGUGACGUAUGACUGAUUAUGUUAUGCACAUUCAGCUUGUAAUGCUUCAGAUCUGCUCAGCAUUUUGCCGGAGCACAUCUCCUUUUCCGGAAAUGUAGAAUAAAGAUGAUUUUUGAGCUUUGACCACACUGAGUCGGGGUUUUUCUCGGUCAGUAAAAGAAUAUAGUCAGAACCGGAUUUGAUAAUUGGUGCCGUGAACCCGGAUUCUUUUACGGCUGAGAGGACAAAUUUGGCCUAAGGUGGGAUUGUGAAAUGAGGCGAACAGAGGAUCGGUCCGAAUUUAAAGCAGGUGAAACUAUGUCAGUGGGCUCCAGAUUUGUCCAGGACGCUGGACGGCUUGAGGGCAACCACUAAAUACGAUGUGGGGAAGAUGAACAGAGAAGAAGGAGCAGAUUCCAGAACCACAGCAAAACCACGAAGGGGUUGGUGAGAAUCCAGGAAGCACCAGACCGAACGGAUCUGGCCAAGAAAGGAGGACCCAAAAGAAGCAUAGAGCAUAGAGAAUCGCCUGUCCCAGAAGAUUAGUUGUUUAGAUUGUAAAGAAGGUCAAAAGCUCGUUAGACAGAGGUUAUGGUGUGAGCACAAAGUAAUGAAGAGUAAUGGGAGGUUUAGCUUUAGUAAUAGUUUGUAUGAUUUUUAUGAUUAUGUCAAUUGCCCAAACACAGUGGUCAUGCCGGAUAUGGUCUACCCAUUAAAGGGGGACAAAGGGACAAUUAAGUGAACUGUAAGUUGUGUGCUUAGAAACCAGAAGUGCUUCUAAAGAGGAAACGGGUUAACUCUAUAGAGACUGUUUCCACAGAUUGACAAAAGUAAUCUAGGACCUUUUACUAGGAAAAGCUAAUUAUAUCUGUUUGGAUUUUACCGUGAGUAGUGAGGGAAGUCAGAAGUGGGUUUAAACUGGGAUCCUGGGUGAAAAGGGGGUGUAGGAAGUAAAGGUAGGACAGCUCACAGCCUGGCGUAGACGCGAGGUGCUGUCUUAGAGCUUGACUUAUUUGUUUGAUUUAUUUGUUGUGCAUAGAAGUAAUUAUGCCACAAUAAUAAGGGAACAUUGAAAAUACACAACCCGUUGAGGGGACGGAUGACAUGAGUGGUUGGGCAAUGGAAAGGUUUCAUUUUGUUUAGUAUGAUUUCUUUGGUUAAAUUCUUAGCUAUUAUUCUCACAUACAAGUAAACUUAAUGGGAUAAAUCAGGAAUUAUGUCAUCUUUCUUUAGGAAAGACGAAAAGGGGGAAAUGUUACGGAAUAAAUAUAUAUUCUUAGUGCUUAUUUUUUGUUUAUAUUGUUUUAUAGAGGCCAGUAUAGUAAAACGCCACUUUGAGUUAGAAUGUGUGCUAAAGGUCACAGAGUACUGUGUAAGACAGGAAACUGCAGAAGGAGACGCUUUGUGCCCGACUGCCGAGUACAGGAAGUGAAACUAGGCAGAGUGCAGCGCAGGAGUUGUUUUGAUCGAAACUAUGUGUGACUAUGUGUGACGUAUGACUGAUUAUGUUAUGCACAUUCAGCUUGUAAUGCUUCAGAUCUGCUCAGCAUUUUGCCGGAGCACAUCUCCUUUUCCGGAAAUGUAGAAUAAAGAUGGUUUUUGAGCUCUGA